rnacentral:rRNA from 1 species
AAACGACUCUCGGCAACGGAUAUCUCGGCUCUCGCAUCGAUGAAGAACGUAGCGAAAUGCGAUACUUGGUGUGAAUUGCAGAAUCCCGUGAACCAUCGAGUCUUUGAACGCAAGUUGCGCCCCAAGCCGUCAGGCCGAGGGCACGCCUGCCUGGGUGUCACGCAACGUCGCUCCCCCCCAAAACGACCCUCGACCCCCUCGGUCCGGGGGAGAACGAAGGGGGGACGGAAGAUGGCCUCCCGUGCGCUCCCCGCUCGCGGUUGGCCCAAACGCGGGUCCUCGGCGACGGCAGCGCCGCGACGAUCGGUGGAGACGCCCGCCGGGCUUCCCUCGUCGCGAGCGCCCGCCGUCCCGCGCGGACCCUACCGGAGACCCCGAAACGCGUCGCUCGAUCGACGCUCGCGUCGCGACCCCAGGUCAGGCGGGAACACCCGCUGAGUUUAAGCAUAUCAAUAAGCGGAGGAAAAGAAACUUACCAGGAUUCCCUUAGUAACGGCGAGCGAACCGGGAAGAGCCA